AAGUCGUAACAAGGUCUCCGUUGGUGAACCAGCGGAGGGAUCAUUACUGAGUUAUCCAAAAACUCCCAACCCUAUGUGAACUUACCACUGUUGCCUCGGCGAGCUGCGCUACCCUGUAGCUACUUUUGUAGCGACUUGGGAGCGCGUUAUAGGCUCGCCAGAGGACCACUAAACUCUGUUUUAUUUUGUAUCUCUGAAUCUUACAACUGAAAUCAGUUAAAACUUUCAACAACGGAUCUCUUGGUUCUG
rnacentral:misc_RNA from 1 species